GGGGAGCAAUCCUCUGAGUACAGCGGCGCACGGGUGAGUAACACGUGGGUAAUCUGCCCUGGAGUGGGGAAUAACACCGGGAAACCGGUGCUAAUACCGCAUACGAUAACGAGGUCUGCGGACUUUGUUAUGAAAGGAGCAAUUCGCUCUAGGAGGAGCCCGCGGCUGAUUAGCUAGUUGGUGAGGUAAUGGCUCACCAAGGCUUCGAUCAGUAUCCGGUCUGAGAGGACGGUCGGACACACUGGAACUGAGACACGGUCCAGACUCCUACGGGAGGCAGCAGUGGGGAAUUUUUCGCAAUGGGGGCAACCCUGACGAAGCAACGCCGCGUGGGUGAUGAAGUAUCUCGGUACGUAAAACCCUUUCGACGGGGAAGAAAACCGCAAGGUUUGACGGUACCCGUAGAAGAAGCCCCGGCUAACUCCGUGCCAGCAGCCGCGGUAAUACGGGGGGGGCAAGCGUUGUUCGGAAUUACUGGGCGUAAAGGGUGCGUAGGCGGUUCGCUAAGUUGGAUGUGAAAACUCUGGGCUUAACCCAGAGCCUGCAUCCAAUACUGACGAGCUAGAGUUCUGGAGGGGGUAGCGGAAUUCCUGGUGUAGCGGUGAAAUGCGUAGAUAUCAGGAGGAACACCGGUGGCGAAGGCGGCUACCUGGACAGAGUCUGACGCUGAGGCACGAAAGCUAGGGGAGCAAACAGGAUUAGAUACCCUGGUAGUCCUAGCCCUAAACGAUGGAUACUUGGUGUGACUGGGAUUGAAUCCAGUCGUGCCGAAGCUAACGCAUUAAGUAUCCCGCCUGGGGAGUACGGUCGCAAGGCUG
rnacentral:rRNA from 1 species